rnacentral:lncRNA from 1 species
AGACACACCUGGCAAUGGAUGUGACAUUUGGCAAUGGAUGUGACACACCUACACACUGCAGCUGACACACUAACGUGUCAGGACACAGUUUGGAAAGCUUUGCCUUAGGGAUUCCACUCUGAAUUUGUGCAGCGUUUACUCCAUAGGCUUUUCUUCUCCUGAAGAUGUCCCACAAGGCAGUGCGUAUGGAUUGUUCCUCAUGGUUUACUCCCAAAGCCUAUCUUAUGAAUGAGUAUAGCUGCAAUCAGUGGUGGUUUAUGAUCAGAGUUUUCCUUUCCCUAGAUGAGCUACCUUCCCAGGUAUUUAUUUAUUUAUUUAUUUAUUUAUACCCGCCCAUCUGGCUGGGUUUCCCCAGCCACUCUGGGUGGUUCCCAACAGAAUAAUAAUAAUAAUAAUAAUAAUAGAUCAAACAUGAAAAACUUCCCUAAAUUGGUUGAUGUUAUGGCUUGGUCUCUCCCACAAAUGUGAGAUGACUCUGGCUGUUAAUUAUUUCAGAUUCAUUGCUAAAACAACAACCUAGGAUGGAGCUCCUCUACUCAUCGCCCUCCCCAGAAGAUGGAGUUGCCCGGAUUGAGCUCCUCCCCCUUCCCCAGCAUGGAAGCCCCCACCUUCUCUUCCAGUAUCUUUUUUUUUUAAAAUGAUAUUUAUUGAAAAAAGAAUUUUUUAAAAAAAUUACAAAGAAAAAAGACAAAACAGAAAAAUAAAAAGAAAAAAUAAAACCAUCAUUUUCAAAUUCUCCACUUUCAUUACCUUCUUUCUAUGACCUCCUCCUCCUCCCUUUUCUUGUAUCUUGAUUAAUAGUUGUCACAGCAAAUCCUUUCCAUAAUUCAUAGUAUUCUGUCAUUGCAUUACCUUACUCUAUUUUCAUCUUAUCUUAUAAAAACCUUAAAGCUUAAGACUUAAAUCUUAUUUUUACCAACUUCUCAUAACCAUUACCUUUUUACCUAAUUCUUUAAACAUUUUUACAAGAGCCAAGUAAUUUCAUUUCAACAUUUUCCUAACAUUCAUCAAUUUUAUAAAACAUUCCUAAUGAUAGAAAAAAGAAAUAAGAACAAUCCAAUCUUCUUCCAGCGUCCCUUCCUCCUGGUCCCGGGUUUGUCAGUCCUUUAUCCCAUUAGUCUGGCACAUUAACCUGGUGAUCUUAUAUCCGAGGCCUUCAAGUCUCUUCCAUGUCCCUUCCACAGCUCUUCUUCAUAUUUUCCUUUCACUCGUGGGAACUCCAGCUUGGUAGUGUUUUUGACCCUUUUCAACAAAUCAGCCCCUUUCCCAUAGUCCAGACUAGACUCCAUGUGGUAUUUUAAGACAUGUUUCAAAUUCCCUCCAAAAUUGGGAGCCCCCACAGCUCCAAACAUCUGAUGGCCCAUUGCCAGACUCGGAAAGUCCAAACAUCUCUGCAUAGGGGGGUCAGUCCAACCCCCCAUUUCCAAAUCAAUCCAAACUUUAUCUUUCCAAAUCUGGUUUUUUCCAUUUGUCAAAUCCAAAGGCUCAUUUUCCUGCAGGGCCAAAAGUUCCUCCCUUUCUGGCAUCCAAGAUUCAGCAACAUCCUCUUCUCUCAACUGUUCUGUCAUGGCACACUCCUGUUUAAGUUCCUGGGUGGGCUCCAUAUGGUUUCCCACUACCUGUUCAAAUGUUCUGGCCGCAUUAGUCAUCAAAUCCGUCUUCUGGCUUAACUGAUCCAAUAGGGCAUUUAUUUUACAGAAAGCACCCAACAGUGCUUCUGAAAACAUUGUCCUGCAAGGUCACAAGUCCUUUCCCACGGUUGUAAUCUGUGGCAGCUGCAAGCUCCCUAGAAUUAGUUACAGUUUCACAGUCCCCUUCUAGGGGGAAACUUCUGGUUGUUCUUUCUUUUAAAGACAAUAGCAACAAAGUUUCUUUUUUUUAAAGAUAUUUUGUCAAUAUUUGUUCCUUUAAAAUGCGAAAGGAAACAGUGGAAUCACAAUGUUACUCUUCUUUUAACUGUCUGUCAAAAACAUUUGUCUCUGGUCAAUGAGCUUCAAACGUCAAUUCUGACACCCCGCUCCAGGAUCAGGACGGUGGAAAGUUACUUUACUUUAAACUCACUUCUGCAGGUUUAAACAGUCCAAAAAAGGUCCCCCUUCUUCUCCUGCUACCGAAGGGGAGGGGGGGUUUCAACGAUUUUAAAUGGUGAAAACCAAUCCUUUGAAAGUGAUUUUCUAAGCUCUGGUUUACUUUGUCUUUGCUUUCUUCUGACUACAAGGAAACGGAAGGCUGACUUCCUGUUUAGACCUUCCUGUUUCAGUACCAAAUUAAGGUAAAUUUUUAAGUCCAAUUCCUUUCUAAUCGCCAGUUCUUAUUUGAAGUCCAAUUGUUCAAUGUUUAAGUACUCACGGGUGAUUAUUUUAGAUGCCAAAUUGUCCCAGGAAAAAGGCAGCGCUCUCCGGCAACGGCUAUGUGGCUUCGCUCCACGGAAAAAGCAAUUGACUCACAGCACCACGCCACUUCCCCCUCUUCGCUUCGGAGCCCAUUAGUGGGUUCCUCUGCGGGUUGGGGGGGCGCUAAGGGUGCCCGCUGAGUCCCACGGUCACAGGCUUCAUCCGCCUGUGAUUUCUAAAAGGGUCCCCGCUUCACCGCAGCGGAAAAGACCCAUUUUGCGCGGAGCUGGUCCCGCCGGUUCAGAGGGAGUCCUCCAUUGCCGAUGGCGCCACCCCGGAAGUCCCCAGUAUCUUUCAUGCUUCUCGGCCACUUUUGAGAUCCUACAAGAUUUGGGAGAGGAUGCUUCCUGCAUUCCAAUGUCUGACUCACUAUUGGAGCUCUCACACAGCUACCUGUCACUCUGGCCCUGUUUUACUUCUCCCCUUUGUUCAGAGCUCAGAUGACAGCUGCUCUCGACCUCCUCUCUGCCUUCCACUGCUAACUGUCCUCUCCCAAUGCCUGCUUCUCCUCUUGUCAACAUCUGAGCUUUGCUGUCUGUUGAUGAGCCUCAUCUUCCCUUCAUUUCAGUACCUUCAGUAACUGCCUUCUUGACCACUGGACCCACUAAUGGUCUCAUCUGCUUAAUCUGCUGAAGCCUGUCUUCCCACACAGGGGAAAUCCCUAACACACCAAGGCUUUGAGACCCAUCAGCUAUCCUCUCCUAGUUUAGCCGGCCAGUCGAAGCCAUUCCUGGGGUGUGGCCUGCUGUUGCAUGCUGGCACCUUAUAGGAGCCACAGGUGAGAGCUGAGUGCAGGGUAGGGACCAAAGGUCUACCCAGAAGGAGCAUGAUAUUCCCUCCACCAGAGAUACUACUCCUUUCCUAACACUUCAGGCACCAGCAUGACCUUUUUUUGUACAAUUUAGGCAUGAGAGACGGGAUAAAUUAUCAGCACCUUGUUAAAGAAAGGGAAUUGACACCCUCAAAUAGUUCACUGAAAUUCUCCUCUCCACCCAAAGGAGCAGAAUUCCCCAUCCUUUUGUGGGGAAUGAAUUGUCUCUUGAAAAUGUAGAGGGGAUUUUUUUUCCCCUACAGCAAUACUAAAGCUUUAGGUACUCAAGAGACUUGCAGGUCUUAUGAAAAGAAUCGAUAUUGAGGCCUUAUACUCUGCUAGACAGGGAGGAAAUGCCCACAGGGCAAUACACAGAGACAAUACCAACACAUGUAGCUAAACGUAACGGUUGUGCACAGCCCGUAUAUUUAUAAUGCAUUGAAACCACAUUAUUUUCCUCAAGAAAUCCUGGAUACUGUAGUUUACCCCUCACAGGUCCCAAAAACCUUAACAAACUACGGAUUAUAUGGGGGAAGUAAUGUGCUGUUUUUGUAUGGUGUGUCCACAGCCCAACUCUCUUCCUCACACCUGUUCCCAUUGCAGAAGUCACAAGCCACUGAUCAGCUUAAAAAGCUGUAUUUCAGCUAUGGGAAUCAGCUUCAGGUGAGAAGAGAUGUAUUGCAUGAAAUCUCCAAUGAUACUGCCUAAACUAAAACAGUAACAUUACAUUUUCAGAUGAAUAAACAAUGAUACUCUCAGCCAAGCAGUUGUUUGGUAGAUUUUCUCUACCAAACUACAAUUUCCAGAGUUCCAUGUGAAGAUGAAAUGACUAUAAAAGUGGCAUAAGUCUCCAUUUUAGUAUAAAGCCUUUAGAAGACAUCCGAGAGCAGCACUAUAUGGGGAAGCUUUUAAUGUGCAACAUUUAUUAUGUUUUUAUAUAUAUUGAAAGCUGCCCAGAGUGGCUGGGGCAACCCAGUCUGAUGGGCAUUGUAUAAUAAUAAUAAUAAUAAUAAUAAUAAUAAUAAUAAUUGCAUUUGUUUUCACAGUCUGGUCCUAUGCAGAGUAAGUGUGCUUAAACCUAUGUGCUUAAACCUAUUGAAACUUUUUGGAGUAAACAUGACUAACUUUGAAUGCAUUUGGAGCCUUCUGGUGUACAAUCGUAUACCAAAAUCUGAUUUCUUUUGACAAAUUGUGAGCAAGCUACAGAAAGAGAAAUCAAGGAAAGUAAUCCACAUUGGUAAAUGUUGUUGAUAAUCUCCAUGUUUCAUCACUCUGCAGCCUCCAUUUCCUCGCUGCCUUACUUGCGAAAGACUGAAACAUUUGCACCCAACUUCUUAAUUUUCAACUCAUUCCAUGUAACACAAAUGAGAGAGAAAGGAAAAGAGCACAGCAGAUAAAACUUAAUGAAUGGAGGAGUCCUGACAACAGCAGCUAUGUCCAGAGCCAUAGGAAUAAAUCUCCAUUAGUGUCAAGCCACGCGUUUUCACCACUGAGACUCGAUUUUAAAAGUGAGGGAAAUUAAUCAGGAUUUAGUGUAAACAUAAAGUUUAGUAGGAAAUCAUCUUUCCAGAAAUAAUACUUUAAGACAUUCCAUGAGUGGAUAAGUUAAUGUGAGUAAAAAAAAAACUAAGGACAGAGUGGGGGAAAAACUUAACUUGGAUAUAAUGUGUCCUCUGCCACAAGUCCAUCGGCUGGGGGUUUGGGGGACAAGGGGCAGGGGGAGCAUCCACCACCAUUCCUGAAGAGAUUCUGAGGUGGGGGCAGGCAAUCCAUGGCAGAAGAGGAGGGGUCCAUCUAGUCCCCCCCCCGUGUGUGUCUUUGCCUCCCUCAGGGCUCACAAUGGCCUACCUACAAAGGAGUGAGGGAGGCAUCUGCAAUGUUUAGAAGGUCAGAGUCACUGCAAUGGUGGGAGGAAGACAUGCAGACUGUAGGGAGGGUUUGGGUUUUUCAGCCAACCUACAGAAACCUGAAUUUCCUUUGUCAGCAGGUAAUCUUUAUCAGGUAAAAAAAGGUAAAAGGCAAAGGACUCCUGGAUGGUUAAGUUAUGUCAAAGGCGACUGUGGGGUGUGGCACUCAUCUCACUUUUCAGGCUGAGUGUGCUGGUCCCGGGGGUAAGGUACCUUGGGUGUAGCAGAGUCCACACGAAGAGGGGCAAGGUCCGAGGCAGAGAGCCGGGCGGGGAACAGGAAUGCUGGAACAGGAGGCUGUGCAGGGAACAGGAACACCGGAUGGUCGGGAACAGGAGGCCGAGCAGGGAACAGGAGUACCGGAUAGUCAGGAACAGGAAGCCGAGCAGGGAACAGGAGUACCGGAUAGUCAGGAACAGGAAGCCGAGCAGGGAACAGGAGCACAGGAAGGUCCGAAGCCAACAACGACGUUGCUCCCGCAACCUGGGGCCGGGCUGACUGGGCUUUUAUCCUCUUCUAAGGCCAGGGGCGGUCCCGGUCCCCAGGAGCCCCGCCUCCUCUGGCCUUAAGGCGAGCACUCCUCCUGGGGGCAACCAGUUCCCUUCGCCUCUCUGCCCUAAGCCUCUGCAGAUCAGGAGAGGCCGAAGGGUUACUGGGCCCUGGAGGAGGCUCACCUGUGGCCACUGAGUCAUCAAGCCCCUCUGGGGCCAGAAGGGCUUCACCUGGGGCCAGCUCCUGAUGCACUGCCACAGGUGCAGGCUCUUCAGCAUCUAGGCCUUGCCCCAGUUCAGCCGGCCCUGGAGGCGGGGACUCCUGUGCAGGCUGGGAUUCCUCUGUUUCAUCCUCCGAAUCGGAAUCCCAGGCCAUCACACCAUCCCCCCUCCCAGGCCCCCCCCUCAACCGAGGGUCCGGACCCGGCUUGCCGGGGUACGUCGCAUGGAACUCUCGGAGGCAGGCAGGUGCGUGGACAUUGGCCGCUGGUUCCCAGGAACGGUCCUCCGGUCCGUACCCCUUCCAGUCAAUGAGAUACUGCAGCUUUCCCCUGCGGUAUCGGGAGUCCAGGAUGCGUUCCACCUCGUACUCAGGCUCUCCCCGAACCAACACUGGCUGCGGUCGGGGACGGUCCGGGUGGAACUCGUCGGGUGGGGCCACCGGACUCAAAAGGGACCUGUGGAAGACCGGGUGAACCUUCAGGGUUGCGGGUAACCGGAGACGGAAUGCCACAGGAGAGAUUUGGUCUACGAUAGGGAACGGGCCGGUGAAGCGGGCGUCCAACUUCCGCGAAGGUCGAGAGGGGUGGAGGUGGCGAGUGGAGAGCCAAACCAGGUCACCGACGCGAGUUCCGGCCCCACCUGGCGGUGGCGGUCGGCCUGGGCUUUGUACGCUUCCUUGGCCUGGUGCAGUUGCUCCACCAAAAGCUGUUGCUGGGACUGGAGCUCUUGAAGCCACUCCGUCACCGCCGGGACCGCGGAUGCCGGCAGCACCUCUGGAAACAGCCGUGGAUGAUAACCAUAACUGGCCUGGAACGGGGUCUGCUGGGUGGACGCAUUCACCGCGUUGUUAUAGGCGAACUCCGCCAAUGCCAGGUGGUCGACCCAGUCAUCCUGCUGGUAGCUGCAGUAACACCGGAGGUACUGCUCCAGCACCGCGUUCGCCCGUUCCGUCUGGCCAUCGGUCUGUGGGUGGUAGGCUGACGAGAGGCAGACCUCUGUCCCGAGGGUCUGGUGUAAUGCUCGCCAGAACCGGGAUGUGAACUGAACGCCCCGGUCGGACACCACGCGCUCAGGUAGUCCAUGCAGGCGGAAGACAUGCUGAAGGUACAGCUGAGCAGUUUCCUUGGCUGUGGGUACAGAUGGACAGGGAGCGCAGUGCACCAUCUUGGUGAAAUGGUCGGAGAAAACCAGAAGGCAGGUACAGCCACGAGACGAGGGUAAGUCCACUACAAAGUCCAACGAAACCGUGUGCCAGGGGCGCGGUGGAACUGGCAAUGGCUGAAGUAGGCCGGGGGGUCGCCCGGUAGGUCCCUUGGCGCGCCGGCAGACAUCACAACCAGCAACGUAGCGAGCCACGUCAGCCUUCAGGCGGGGCCACCAAAACUCUCGACUGACCAGAUGGGUGGUCCGAUACCGUCCAAAGUGCCCCGCUGCUGGGGCAUCAUGGGCCAUCCGGAGAACCUCCAGCCGUAGUGGCCCUGGCGGGAUGUACAGACGACCGUGGUGCAGCAGAAGGCCCUGAUGCAGGACCAGCCCCGGAUACUGUGGGCUGGACCCUUCAGCCAGCUCCCGGAGUCGUUCCUGGGCCCAAGCGUCGACCCGCUGCUGUUCCCGCACCCGAACCUGCAGUGGCUGCGCCUCCUGGGUGGCCAGGAAUGCAGCCGGAGGUAGGAUCGUGGUGGGUUCUGCUUGCUGUACCGUGUCUGCGUUGUCUUCGGGUUUCCGGGACAGGGCAUCCGCCUUCUGAUUCUGAGAGCUAGGGAUGUAGCGGAUCCGGAACUGGAACCGGGAAAAGAACAACGCCCACCGGAUCUGUCUUUGGUUAUAAUAAUAAUAAUAAUAAUUUAUUACGGCCGUAGGCCCAUACAGAUAAAAGCAAGACAUAAAUAACAGCCUGUGCACAUGGGAAAAAAACAGCCGCUAAAACAAUACUAUAACAAUAAGCUACUAUAAGAUGGAAUGGCAUACUACGCCUUAAUUAGCUUGUGGUGCUCCUUGGCGCGCUUUUGGGUAAGGACAGCGACCAGGAACCUAGCCACUUUCAGGGUCGUAUGGGCAUCCUUAUCCUGCAAGAUUUGGGCAAGGUGGAAUUUUGGUGGAGUACCCUCUAAUUUCUGUAUGAUUGAUCCCAACAAGUUUGCCCGUGGCACCUUAAAUAAGGGGCAAGUGAACAUAAUGUGCUGAAGCGACUCCGGCAUCUCCUUAUCACAUUCGCACAUGGCGGAGGUUUGGCCCUUUGAGAAUCAAUGUCUCAGGACAUUGGAGGAAAAACAUUAAACCUCGCUUUGGUGAAGGCCAGCCUAUGGGCAACAGUCGAAAGGGAGGAGAGGUAUGAUGGACCGCAAUAAGUUAAAGUGAUACCAAUGGUCUGGGGCGAACAAUCACCUGCACCCAGCCUAUACUGUUGCGGUAAAUCGAUGUAAUCCAGUCUUUGGCGGAUCAGUCUUUGAGCAGUGAGUUGAUCUAGUUUUUGGGAAUCUAAGGAGAGAUUCCAUAGCUCAGGAGUUUGGCAUGAAUUCUACUGGUCCAAAGGCUGGGAAUUCAUCUCGCCAUAAGCAUUGGGCAAGGUAAUGGUCUGGUAAUCUAUGCCACAAUGAUAACCAAUAAUUGAAGACUUGCUUCCACAGGCAGGUUUCUAAGGAUGCGAUCCUCAAUUCUAAACGCAUGGCUGCGUUGCUUACGCACAGGGGAGCAUUAGGAGCCGACGUAGGAAUUGGUUUGCAAAGUCUCAAGAGGAGCAAGGUCUGUCAUCACGACCCAGAGCGGGGCAGCAUAAGCAAGCACGGGAACCACUUUUGCCUUGAACACCUUUAGGGCCGAGGAACAUGCAAAGCUCCAUCCGAAAAGAAAAAUCGGAGGAGCGCAUAUGACAGAGUUUUGGCCUUAUUAAGUAGGUGUUGAAUAUGUGCUUUCCACCCCAAAUUGUAUUGAAAAAUAACUCCUAGGUAUUGAAAUUUUAGGACUUGCUCUAUUUUGCUCCACCAAGCUUCCAUUCGUAUAAUCUCCGACUUCUGGCGAAAAUCAGAAUCUUAGAUUUAGCAUGAUUGAUGGUUAAUUGGUUGAGUUGACAAUACGUGGCAAAGAUCUUCAGAGCUCUGGUUAGUCCAACACGUGUAUAAGAUAGAAUUACCGCGUCGUCCGCAUAUAAAAGGAGUGGACAGCGGUAAUCCGCUAGUCUAGGCGCAUGUGUACUUGGAGAUGAGUUGACUAGGGGUGCUCGCAUGUCGCUGAUGAAUAGAUUGAAUAGGCAGGGGCCAAUAUACAUCCUUGGCGCACUCCCUUGUUUAUUGGUAUCGAAUUUGUGAGGUCGCCCGCAGGAGUAAGUCUCACUCUGGCAAGGGUACCUUCGUGGAGCUGACUUAUAAGCCAUAAGAGCCUUCUAUCGAUGCCCUGUUUCGCAAGUUUCUCCCAAAGAAUAUUUCUAGGAACGCUGUCGAAGGCUGCCUUAAGAUCUAAGAAGGCAGCACACAGAUAGCCCGGGGAGGGAGGAGUACUUCCGUGCCAGAUGGUAAAGAACUAUCGCAUGAUCAGUUGUAGAGCGUUUAAUUCUGAACCCUGCUUGUUCGUGGCCAAUCUGGUUAGUCUCAUCUACCCAUGGCGAUAGUUUCGUCAGCAAAAGCUGGCAUAAAUUUUCCCUAUGAUCGAAAGGAGGCUGAUGUUACGGUAAUUUUCCGGCUCCAUUGGAGAACCUUUUUAUGAAUUGGUACUAUAAUGGCCUCCUUCCAUAUUUUGGGGAUGAUACCAGAAGCGUUGAUUGCGUCGAAGGUUUUGGCCAAGAUGCCAGCCCACCAUUUUGGGUGUAGUUUGAUGGCUUCAGCAGGGAUCAGGUCGGGCCCUGGGGCUUUGCCCAAUUUCAGCUGGGCUAUUAGCUUGGCUAUUUCGUCAGGAUCGGUGGGAGGCCAAAUAGGUAGGUGGGAGAACAGAUGCAUCAGAUGGUCAUCUUUGGUUCAGCUUGCGGGUGGCCUGGAGGUACUCCAGGUUCCGGUGGUCGGUUCUCACCUCCACCGGAUGUCGUGCCCCCUCAAGAUGGUGGCGCCAGACCUCAAAGGCUACCUUGAUGGCCAGUAGUUCCCGCUCCCACACAGUAUAGUUACGCUCCGCUGGUAGGAGCUGGCGAGAAUAGAAGGCACAGGGUAAGAGUGGCGCUUCAGGACCAAUCUGUUGAGACAAGACGGCACCGAGAGCCGUACUGGAAGCGCCGGUCUCCACCACAAAGGGUCGAGAGGGGUCAGGAUGUUGUAAGAUUGGUGCCCUCUGGAAACAGGCCUUCAACCCCUGAAACGCCUCCUCUGCCUCCUUGUCCCAGGAAAACGGCGUCUUUGGGCGCAGUAGCCGGGUCAACGGGGUGGUGCGAUGAGCAUAAUCAGCGAUGAAGGUCCGGUAGUAAUUGGCGAACCCCAGGAAACGCUGCAGGUCCUUGCGGUUCCGGGGUGCCGCCCAUUCUUGAACCGCUGUCACCUCCCCGGGUCCAUUUGCACCCCAUCUGGAGAGAGCCGGUGACCAAGGAAGUCCACAGUCCGCUGAUGGAACUCGCACUUGCUGAGCUUUGCGUACAAACGGUGCUCACGCAAGCGCUGCAGCACGGUCCGGACAUGUCCCUCAUGGCAAGCCGGGUCACGGGAGUAAAUCAGUAUGUCAUCCAAAUACACCACCACGUACUUGUCUAACAAGUCCUGAAACACGUGGUUGAUGUAGCGUUGAAACACAGCAGGCGCGUUGCACAAACCGAAAGGCAUAACCAAAUAUUCGAACUGCCCGUACCGGGUCCCAAACGCUGUCUUCCACUCAUCCCCGGCUCGGAUCCGAAUCAAGUUGUAGGCCCCCCGGAGGUCCAGCUUGGUGAACACCUGUGCCCCUUGCACCCGCUCCAGCAGUUCCGAGAUAAGGGGCAAGGGGUACCGGUCUGGGACGGUAAUUUUGUUCAGGGCUCGGUAAUCAUGGCAAGGGCGGAGUUCCCACAUUUCUUCUUAACGAAAAGCACUGGUGCCGCGGUAGGCGAGGUGGAAGGCCUAAUGAACCCACGCUCCAGGUUCUUGCGCAAGAAGUCCUGCAAAGCCUCGCGCUCUGGCUCUGUUAGGGAAUAUAAGCGACUCACUGGUAAAGGCGCUCCGGGUUGGAGGUCUAUGCCGCAGUCAAAAGGCCGAUGUGGCGGCAGCUGGUCUGCCCCCCGUUCCUCGAACACGUCCUGGUAGUCCUGGUACACGGCUGGGAGCGUGGGUGCUGCCUCCUCUGGGGCGCGGCCGCCAGCGUUCCGGAUUGAGCAUGGGAACAUGGGUCUGGGAAGUGCACGGUCCGUUUGACCCAGUCAAUCUGAACGUUGUGGGCUUCCAGCCAGUCCAUCCCGAGCACCAGGGGGACGCGGGGCAUAGAGGCAAUGUCCAAAGUCCGCAACUCCCGGUGCUGCUGGAGACACAGGACCAAGGGCUGGGUCUCCUGAGUAACGGCACCUGAACGCAGAAGUCGUCCGUCAAUCGCUUCCACCUGGACCGGUACUGGCUUGUUCCGAGUGGCACCUGAUGAUGGGCGGCAAAAGCAGCGUCCAUAUAGGAGCGGGUUGCCCCUGAAUCUACCAAAGCAUGGGUGAGGAUCCAGGGCCCACCUGGAGGGUAUAAACGUACUGAAACCAUAAGAUGUUGCAAGUCCAUUGGUGCGGGCCCAUUCUGUACGGUUUGGGACCCCCGGUAGCUAGGGCCAUCAGCUACUGGGGUUGGCGGUUUCCCUGCGGCUGGCGUUUCUCAGGGCAGGACCGAGCGAAGUGUCCACUUCCGCCACAGUAAAGACAGAGACUUCCCUCCCGACGCCGCGCCUUCUCUGCGGGGGAAAGGCGUGGCCGCACUGCCCCGAGCUGCAUAGGCUCCUCCGUUAAAUCAGUUGUGACCGUGGGGCUGCCGGAAAAAGCUGGUGCCGUGAACUGGAAGUGUCGGCGACCCGGGCCUGACGACGAUCCUCCAACCGGUCGUCUAUUUGUAGACUCCGUUGAAUGAGAGUGUCCAGCGUGGUGGGGCGUUCCAUUGUGGCCAACUGGUCCAGUACCUCGUCCGAAAGCCCUUCGAGAUACUGGUCCCGCAGUGCCGAGUCAUUCCAGGUCAAGUCCUGUGCCAACAGCCGAAACUCCGUGGUAUAUGUGGCCACCGUGGACUUGCCCUGUUUCAAACGCCGAAUCGCCCGGUUGGCUUGACUCUCUUUCUGGGGGUUGCCGAACGCGGCCUCCAAACGAUUGCAAAACCCCGUAUAGUCUGCCAGCAAGGGGAGUCUUGCCUGAGUAACGGCAACGCCCACUUGGCCGCCUGGUCCUUUAACAAACUAAUCAAAAAGUGCACCUUGGUGCGGUCGUCAGGAAAGUUCCGGGCUCGCCCCUGAAUAUACAGCUUGGCCUGGGCCAGGAACAUGGGAAAGCUGGCCGGGGCUCCAUCAAAUUUCUCAGGCAAAGCCACUGGGUACUUGCCCGGAGCCGGGCGUCGGCCCCAGGAGCCGGUAGGGCUUCCAAGCGUUGCUGAAGUGCCACAACCGCGUCGCUGAGCUGCUGCACGGUGUGAUUCAAGGCCUGGUUCUCCUGGGCCAAAGCCACCAGUGCAGCCGCCUGUUCAGCCAUGGCCUCUGGCUCUUCCCGAACGCACCCCUACGAAGGGGAAGUGCGGGUGUGGCGGGAGCAAACUGUGCUGGUCCCGGGGUAAGGUACCUUGGGUGUAGCAGAGUCCACACGAAGAGGGGCAAGGUCCGAGGCAGAGAGCCGGGCGGGGAACAGGAAUGCUGGAACAGGAGGCUGUGCAGGGAACAGGAACACCGGAUGGUCGGGAACAGGAGGCCGGGCAGGGAACAGGAGUACCGGAUAGUCAGGAACAGGAAGCCGAGCAGGGAACAGGAGUACCGGAUAGUCAGGAACAGGAAGCCGAGCAGGGAACAGGAGCACAGGAAGGUCCGAAGCCAACAACGACGUUGCUCCCGCAACCUGGGGCCGGGCUGACUGGGCUUUUAUCCUCUUCUAAGGCCAGGGGCGGUCCCGGUCCCCAGGAGCCCCGCCUCCUCUGGCCUUAAGGCGAGCACUCCUCCUGGGGGCAACCAGUUCCCUUCGCCUCUCUGCCCUAAGCCUCUGCAGAUCAGGAGAGGCCGAAGGGUUACUGGGCCCUGGAGGAGGCUCACCUGUGGCCACUGAGUCAUCAAGCCCCUCUGGGGCCAGAAGGGCUUCACCUGGGGCCAGCUCCUGAUGCACUGCCACAGGUGCAGGCUCUUCAGCAUCUAGGCCUUGCCCCAGUUCAGCCGGCCCUGGAGGCGGGGACUCCUGUGCAGGCUGGGAUUCCUCUGUUUCAUCCUCCGAAUCGGAAUCCCAGGCCAUCACACCGAGGGAGCUGGCGUUUGUCCACUGACAGCUUUCUGGGUCAUGGGGCCAGCAUGACUACACCGCUUGUGGCACAAGAGAACACCAUGGCGGAAGCCAGAACACAUGGAAAUGCCAUUUACCUUCCCGCUGCAAUGGUACCUAUUUAUCUAAUUGCACUGGUGUGCUAGGUUGACAGAAGCUGGGACAGAGCAACGGGAGCUCAACCCGUCAUGGGGAUUCGAACCACCGACCUACAGCUCGGCAAGUCCAAGAGGCUCAGUGAUUUAGACCACAGUGCCGCCCACAUUUACCACACCAGCACAAGAUAGUUUGAUUCUUGUUUGAAAGAAUCCUUAGGUUAAAUCCUUGACUGUUUAUGUCUACCUAUAAAAAUAUGUUCAAUUAUCAAGAAGUGGGGAAUGUAAGAACUUGUAAUUUCCCUGAUUUGUUAGUGUGAAAAGCAUAGAACUAAAUAAAAUAUGUCCAUACUCUGUUUUCAGUUGCAUUCCUUAGUGGAGACAUUGUCUGUGGUUGUAUAAAUCUGAAGGCAUCUCAUAUAUAUUUUAUCAGAGUCAAGGAUCCUAUUAAUUCAAAACCAAGGUAAUUAACAUUUUCACGUGUAUAGCCUCCAAAACUGGGGUGGGAGGAAGAAAGCAACUGUUUUUCGAAGCUGAAUAACUGAUCCCAUAAAUUCAUGUGAAGAAACCCAUUUUGAUGCAAUUCAAUGGCUCAACUCAACUCAUGGUGUUAAUUUACUGAUGGUGCUAGAGCUAAUGUUGUUGUUGUAACAUCCUAAAUUCACUAACUGGCCAAUUUUCUUCUGGUACCCUAAAUAAGUUUGACUCAUCUAAUGGACACCAAUGGGAGAUGCUGUUUCCUAGGCAACAAAAACAAUUCUGAAUUGCUCCUGGCUUAUGUAAAAUGUCAACAGUUGUGAAGACCUGGAAUAAUGCCCAUGACCUUAAAAUGUUUCUGCAUAGAAAACCUAUUCCUUCUCAAAGGUCGUUAGACAGUCAAUGUUCUCAUCCAUCCUGCCGUCCUUUCCUCUAAAUGGCAGGACAGCUUAGCAUAUUACUGAAUUGUUGGCUAUCCAAUGUGUUCUUGAAAAGGCAGCAGAGGAAAGUAACACAUUUUCAAUAAGGAACAAGACAGUAGAAUUGAGGAUUUACGGUAGAUGUUUUCAUGUUGGUGCCCUCACUAUCCAAAUUCACAACCCUUUUGAGAAUGCUGUAUUGUUUGAAAACUCAGAAUGCUUGCAUGGCUGAAAAAAGAAAAAAGGAAAAAGUGGCUAUUGAAAUGUAAGUCACACUUUCCUAAAAAUACACUCCAGCUUAUUGUAUUUGCUUCCAGAAAAUAUAGAUAAUCAAAUCAAGUAUAUUCAAGUCGUUCUCUGUGAUUACACUUCAAAAAUAAGGGACAGCCAUGACUAAAUGAAAGAGCCAAGACUAAAAUUUGUUAUUACCUAUCAAAACCAUCCACAACUGUACAACCCUAAAACAGAAAGGAGCUUAUUAUAGAAAAUGUCAUAGAUGCUGGCCAUUUAAGUCUAUUUUCAGAUUGCCCUGAUGUAAUUAAUUUUAUCCAUUUUGACCUUUUGGCUAUUUUCUAUUUUUAUGACAUAUAGCAUAAUUAUGUGGAUGGAAAUAAACAAUUUGCAGCACUAUUGUCUGCAGAAUGGAAGUGGGAAUCAGCUUAGAUUGCAACCAUUCUGUUAGUUCUGCACAGGGAAGUCCUAAUGGAAGCUCAGCUGCAAUCAGGACUGUAAUCUUCAUCUCUACAUAUUCAGAGUGACUAGCAUCAAUAAAAUAAAAUCUACCAAGGAAAGUAAAAACAAUUCAAGAAGAAGAAAGACUGCUUUCAGAAAGCUUUACAUUUCAAGUGCGCAAGCAACUCAUUGAUCGUAAUGAAAGAAGAUUCUUGAUGAGUACAUUGUAUCAGUGAUAGGCUACAGAAAUGAAAUUGCAUAAAAUUCUUGGGACGCUGUCCAGUUCUACACCUACAGAUGUAAACAGAGCAAUGGGCCAUCCAUCCAUUGCACAUUUCUUUAUAUUCUUCCUCUUUUCUCAGUGGAAGUUGGAGCAUGAGUACUUUGCAUUGAGACAAGGAUGAAGAUGAAUGAAGAUCAAACCGCAUUCAAGGUGGCUUGUUUGAUGUUUUACUGUGUUCAAUAUUUUAAUUUGCUGGAAGCCACCCAGAGUGGCUGGGGCAACCCUGUCAGAUGGGUGGCAUAUAUUAUUAUUACAGUAGUAUUAUUAUUAUUAUUAUUAAAAUAUAUAACUGAAACAUGAGAAAAGUAGUCAUAAAUUGUAAAUAAAACAUAAAAACUACACAACCAAACUGAACAAUUUUUGCAAAAAUCAAAAGAUCUAAAAUCAGCAUACAUAAAAACAACAGCAACAGCCCCCACCCACCCAACAAAACACACCAAAGUCACAGUGAACCAUUAUGGACUAAAUGAAAGUUAUUGAUUCAUUAUGAGAAUGAAAUGGGCAUAGAAGAUCCAUGGGGGACUGACUAGAGAUAGGAGAGAAACACAAUUCAAUUAGAAUCUACAGGUGAACCUACCUGAUCCAUACUUUCCAUAACAAUACACAAACUGAAUCACAGGCUUUGAAAUUUACACUUCUCUGAAUUUUGCUGUGCCAUCCUACAGCUAAGCAAUGUGUACGACAUUAGACUAAAGUGUGCAUAAAAAUGCAAAGGUUUAAAUAACAUAAAAAUGCAUUAUAUUAAUAACAUAAAAUUGCAUUAUAUUAAUAACAUAAAAUUGCAUUAUAUUAAUAACAUAAAAAUGCAUUAUAUUAAAAGUUAUGUUACAAAAUGAGUAUAUUAGAAGAAAUUCACACUAAAAUGCUGGUGAAUUUUCAUGAAGACUUCUUCAAAAAAUUGCAAACAGUGAUGUGGGAAAUGUGAAGAACUGAAUUUAAGACAGGAGACUGAGAGAAAGAAAAAUUGACAGAUUUACUCAUACCUGCACCUAAGUCAAACAAGCAAACAAUGAUCUCAGUAUGCAGUGGUGUAAGGAGAAAUAAAUGAGCAUUCUAGCUGACAGCACAGCAAACCAUCCCUUUUUAAUUAUGCUCCCCAGAUGCAACAUGUGAUGAGGCGAUGAGGCAUUAACAAAUGGUCCAAAUUCACAUGACUUCUUCACCACACAGCUAGUUGUACAUGCAUUCAUUUCCCCCAAGCCCAAGGCUGUGGUCUGUUGAAAAAAAAUAGAGAAGAGAUCACUAUGCCUCUGUGUAUUCUGCUGUUUCAAACCUAGACAGCAUCUUAAAAAGCAGACACAUUACCUUGCCAACAAAGGUCCGUAUAGUUAAAGCUAUGGUUUUCCCAGUAGUGAUGUAUGGAAGUGAGAGCUGGACCAUAAAGAAGGCUGAUCGCCGAAGAAUUGAUGCUUUUGAAUUAUGGUGCUGGAGGAGACUCGUGAGAGUCCCAUGGACUGCAAGAAGAUGAAACGUAUCCAUUCUUAAGGAAAUCAGCCCUGAGUGCUCACUGGAAGGACAGAUCCUGAACUGAGGCUCCAAUACUUUGGCCACUUCAUGAGAAGAGAAGACUCCCUGGAAAAGACCCUGAUGUUGGGAAAGAUAGAGGGCAGAAGGAGAAGGGGACGACAGAGGACGAGAUGGUUGGAUAGUGUUCUCGAAGCUACCAGCAUGAGUUUGACCAAACUGCGGGAGGCAGUGGAAGACAGGAGUGCCUGGCGUGCUCUGGUCCAUGGGGUCACAAAGAGUCAGACACGACUAAACGACUCAACAACAACAUUCUGCUGUUUUCAGUUGACAAUGGCCACUAAAUUGGCCACAAGCACCACUGUUCUGGAAAGAAGAGAAGAAAGGGCCAACCUGGAACAAUCUCAUCUUCUGCCAGUACCAGUUCCGAUUGAAAUUAGAAGAAGAGGCCAAACAACAGUAAUUAAUUUUCCUGGAUAUAUGUCUUUGUAGAUUUUAAUCUUCUCCCUUUUUUCCUCCCAAGCCCUUUGCUUACAAUAGGACCCCCUGGGAACUGAGUUCAUUUGCUUAUUCUUUUAUUUUAUAUCUAAUUGCUAUAGGUUAUUGUAUUUUAGUGUUUUGUUGGAAGCCGCUCAGAGUGGCUGGGGAAACCCAGCCAAAUGGGCAGGGUAUAAAUAAUAAAUUAUUAUUAUUAUUAUUAUUAUUAUUAUUAUUAUUAUUAUUAUUACUACAUACCCUGAAUCCUUGGAACAAGGUGGCACAAACUGAAUGACUAUAUUUGCUUCUAUUUUAUUUUAUUUUAAGAUGAAUCUGCUUGAAUUUUAGCUUCAUUGCAACUGGAAAUGAGAUGAGCGCUGCUUCUUGAUGCUGCACAAACUAGUCUUUCUCCAAAAUGUCGUCGUUCUCAGUACUUUGCAGAAAGAACAGCCCAGCUGGCCUUCCCUGAUUUUAUACGUGGCGAUAAAGCAGGAGUUACAAAUUGCAUAGGGUUUUUUAUUACAGAAAACAAAAUCCUUUUUUUAAAAAGUGUUCAAUGAAUGGCUCAUUACAUACUGUCAAAUCAAUACUUCUAAGCCAUAUCCACUUGCGAGGUUUGACUCAAAACAACUUUCAUUACGCUUUUACCCUUGGCAAAGAUAUUCUAGCAGACAACAAUUUCCUGAUUCAUCUCUGUUUACAUCAUACACAUGCAGCUUACACAACAUGCUAUUCUUAAAUAAAUGAGGACAGGAGCAAUGAAGCUAUACGGAAUGUUAUUAUACGGUAAUAGAAAAAGCCGGAAAGAAGAUGCUGUGCUCUAAGUGUGGGCUCUUUGUCAUUAUAACAGUCAUAGUUUGCUUCCACCCAUAAGCACCCAUCAACAGGUCAGUCCUUUGUAUCACGUUGAAAGAAAGAAGAUGCUUUAAACAUGAGACUGGUGAUAGAAUUCCUGACAACAGCAUUGGUCUGGCGCUGGAAUUAUUUUUACCCAAAUAUCAAAACUUGAAGCUUUAUUUAUUUAUUUAUUUAGAAUAUUUAUAUACCAAUUUUCAGCAAAGGGUUCCCAAAGCAGAUUGUGUUGUACCAACUGGCUUACAUGUACGCUUAAAUAAUGUAAAGGUAGAAGAACACACAAAUAUUUAGAAAUGAACACGUGUACUCUUUCACACAAACACUUGUACAUAGGUGCAGACGCUCUGUACAAGUGUUAAGUGUAAGAUGUGAACAAUACAAAUCUGUUUGUCCUCUACAGUGUCAGGUUUCAAAAUGUAAAUCUUCUACCCUAGAACAAAGUAGCAGAUCUCCUCAUCCAAAAACUAUCGUCUGCUCAGGUUCUGACUUUGUUAGCCCAGAAAAUUACCUCCGAGGAGCACCCACUCCCAAGACAAUUUGCAGAGCAAAUUACAAUAUCAGAUUAAAAGAACAGGGACGUUCUCAAGAAACAGUUCUGGGCUGAUGCUUAAACUCCUAACAGAAGCUGGCUUGGUGGAGUUGCUUUCUUCCUUUGAGAAUGUCAGUUAUAGUUCUGGGUGUCAUGGUCUCAAGCCAUAGGCUAAGAUUAUGCCACCCCUGAUUGAUGUCAAUCAAUACAGCUAAAGCAAAAGAGUAUUGAUAAAACUAUGAAAACCACUGCAGGUGGCGCAGUGUUCUAAACCACAGAGCCUAUGGCUUGCCGAUCAGAAGGUCACCAGUUUGAAUCCCUGUGACGAGGUGAGCUCCCGUUGUUCGGUCCCAGCUCCAGCCCACCUAGCAGUUUGAAAGCACAAAGUGCAAGUAGAUAAAUAGGUACCACUCCAACGGGAAGGUAAAUGGUGUUUCCAUGCGCUGUUCUGGUUCACCAGAAGCAGCUUAGUCAUGCUAACCACAGGACCAGGAAGCUGUCUGCGGACAAAGGCCAGCUCCCUUGGCCUAUAGAGCGAGAUGAGCGCACAACCCCAGAGUCGUCCGUGACUGGACCUAACGGUCAGGGGUACUUUUACCUUUACCUUUUAUGAAAAUUUAUCAAAAGCGUCCCCCCCACACCCUAGCUUGUACCCAGAUUUCUUCUGAAUAAUGACCUACAAUCCACAUGUUUAGUAGGAAGUUGAUAUUUAAGCAUCCAUGCUGCUUUUACAGAAAAUAAAGGGCAAGGAUGAGUGAAAAGAGCCUUGGCUCAGAUGAUCUAGUACAUAGUACAUAGAGAUGUGAAGUAGAAACAGUCUGCCCAUUGGUCGUAGUUAGAGCUGGGGGAGAAAUUCUAUUACACUCACAUUUAAAGCCGAACAUAUCAAAUUUUCACUUUCCAAAACAAUAAGAGAACUGAAACACAGCCAUCCUUCAAAAUUUACACUUAUCUGAAUUUUAUGACACAGUUCUAUGACCUAUCAAUGUUUAUUUUUUUUUAAAAAAAAAACACCACUACAUAUAUUAGGGGCAAGUGUACAUAAAAAUGAAAAUAACAGUGAAAAUAACAUACAAAAUGCAUUAUAUUAGGAUUAUAUUCUCAGAAAUGUGUAGAUUAGUCAAAGCUGCAUGAAAAAAUUGUUUUAUUAUGAUAAAUUGUCAAUAAAAUUUUGGAGAGAAAAAUGGAUUUUUUAAAAAAAUGAAACAUUCACACAUUGCUGCGGGAAUGUGGGGAACUGAAUUAAGGACUGGAAAACGGAAAAACGGAACCAUAAGUGGCAGUUCCUUGCAUCCUUAUUGAUGUCCUCAUUUAUUUAUUUAUUUCAUCUAUAUCCUACCCUUUUCUUCCAGAAGCUCAGGGUAGCAUACAGAAUCCUCUUCAAUAAAUCCCAACCAUCUUCUGCGUCAGGUUAUGCUGAGAGGCGGUGACUGGCUCAAGAUCACCCAGUGAGCUACAUGGCCAAGUGGGAAUUUGAACCCUGGUCUCUUCCAGAACAUAGCCCAACACUCUAACCGCUGUACAACAUUAUCACAUGUUGUCAGUUGCCAAAAUAUUCAGGAGUUUUACAUGAAUCUAAAUAACUCAGUGCACAUAUGUGGCAUGGUCUGGAAGGUGUCACGUAAUAAUUGCUAAAACCGGAUCGUGAUAAGCUGAGAGCCAGCUAUAAAGCCAAUAUUUCUCUUUUCUUUUCAGCCCUCUUUUAUUAGCAUUAUAUCAAGGAAAUUGUCGGUGCUUUGUAUUCUCCACAGGUCACAAUGAAUUGCACAACGAAUUAGUAACAAGAAUAUGUUGGGAACAGUUAAAACAGUCCUGAGGCUCAGAGCUAACAAGCCCAGAUUCAAAUGAGAACUACUAUCUGAAAAGUGACUGACGAGAAGCAGUUAGGGGUGGUCUAUAAAGCAUGUGAAAUAUCAAGUGAUGGCUAAAUUGCCUCAAAAGAGGGUGGCAGAAUUGGUCAUAAACAGGCUGGAGAUGACAGAGAUCAAUGGAGGACAUUUCAAAGAAGCCUCAGCAAACUUGCAAUAUACUAUAUGGACAGUUAUUUUGAGAAAUUGUGCCACCUAACACCACCGUAUAGCAAACAUCCUGAG